CUGUUACCUAAGUUCGGCUGUUUACGAGAGCAUCGCUGUUCGCGCUUGUAACCAGACGUGCGGCCGCUCUCCUCUUAAGAAGUGUCAGAAUAACUUUACAAUGAGGAAUAUGAAAGACUUGGUAGCUUACACUUUUGCAACAUGUCUUUUGAUGACUCCAUUGGUUACUCCCUCCAGUGGUAUGUUUCAAGACAUCACAAACAGUGUCUUCAGGUCUUCUCCAGAAAGUAAUCCAGUGCAGUUGAACUAUGGUGUUGCAGUCACUGAUGUAGACAAUGAUGGACAGCUGGAAGUGGUGGUAGCUGGGUGAGUUCUGUUUGUGGUUGACUG